GCAUUGGUGGUUCAGUUGGUAGAAUUCUCGCCUGCCACGCGGGAGCCUGGGUUCGAUUCCCGGCCAAUCGCA